rnacentral:rRNA from 1 species
AUUCCGGUUGAUCCUGCCGGAGGCCAUUGCUAUUGGAGUCCGAUUUAGCCAUGCUAGUCGCACGGGUUCAGACCCGUGGCGAAUAGCUCCGUAACACGUGGCCAAACUACCCUAUGGAUCGGAAUAACCUCGGGAAACUGAGGCUAAUACCGAAUACCGCUCUCACGUUGGAAUUACAGAGAGCACGAAACGCUCCGGCGCCAUAGGAUGUGGCUGCGGCCGAUUAGGUAGACGGUGGGGUAACGGCCCACCGUGCCGAUAAUCGGUACGGGUUGUGAGAGCAAGAGCCCGGAGACGGUAUCUGAGACAAGAUACCGGGCCCUACGGGGCGCAGCAGGCGCGAAACCUUUACACUGCACGAACGUGCGAUAAGGGGACUCCAAGUGCGAGGGCAUAUAGUCCUCGCUUUUGCCUACCGUAAGGUGGUAGGUGAAUAAGAGCUGGGCAAGACCGGUGCCAGCCGCCGCGGUAAUACCGGCAGCUCGAGUGAUGGCCAAUAUUAUUGGGCCUAAAGCGUCCGUAGCUGGCCGAACAGGUCUGUCGGGAAAUCCGCUCGCUCAACGAGCGGACGUCCGGCGGAAACCAGUCGGCUUGGGACCGGAAGACCCGAGGGGUACGUCCGGGGUAGGAGUGAAAUCCUGUAAUCCUGGACGGACCACCGGUGGCGAAAGCGCCUCGGGAGGACGGAUCCGACAGUGAGGGACGAAAGCUUGGGUCACGAACCGGAUUAGAUACCCGGGUAGUCCAAGCUGUAAACGAUGCUCGCUAGGUGUGGCACUGGCUACGAGCCAGUGCUGUGCUGUAGGGAAGCCGAGAAGCGAGCCGCCUGGGAAGUACGUCCGCAAGGAUGAAACUUAAAGGAAUUGGCGGGGGAGCACUACAACCGGAGGAGCCUGCGGUUUAAUUGGACUCAACGCCGGACAUCUCACCAGCACCGACAGUGUGCGAUGAAGAUCAGUGUGAUGAGCUUAUUGGAGCCACUGAGAGGAGGUGCAUGGCCGCCGUCAGCUCGUACCGUGAGGCGUCCUGUUAAGUCAGGCAACGAGCGAGACCCGCAUCCUUAAUUGCCAGCAGUACCCUUGU